AAUGAAGAUGGAUCAACUAUGACCCAAACAGGACUGUGUCACAAGAUGGAACUCAACAUAUUACACGUUGCAGAGUUUUAUGACAAAUAAGAACCCCAUCGUCUCCACCCUGGCCAUCACCAAUGCACUGACUGUAGUGCAGGAGAUGUGCACCAUCUGAAAGCCGUUUGAAGAGGUCACUGUUGAACUGCAAGUGCAGAAAGGUAUGUAGUUCAGCUGGUCAGUGGUAGAUUUCUAUAGCAUCCAUGAUAAUGACCUGAUACUUAUGAAUAUUUAAAACCAUAAUAGAUACCUAAUAAAUAAAUGCGUAAUAAAUUGUGACAUGUAUCAUUGUUGGUAUAACUUUAUAAUUGUAUUAUUAUAAUAAUAUUCAUAUUUUUCUCAAUAGCUACAUGACUGCCUCCAAGGUUAUACUGCUGGCCAGGGGACUGCAGAGAGCCACGACAGAUUUCCAGAGGAGGGCAACAACACAGGCAGCAAAAGACAUGGUCAACUCUCUGUGUUCAAGCAUGUCAGCUAGAUUGCGCAGAAUGGAUGCCAACCACACCCUGGCAGAUGCUGGCAAGGAUGGCAUUCAUGGAUGGUAGAUCUGCAGACGAGGCUUUCCAGAGAAUAUCAACUGCAGCAGCAAGACUCACUCUAAGCAGCAGCGAACCCAUCCACCAACCAAUCCAAGGGGAAGGAGCAGGCAGUGCUGCACCAGAAUCAGUUGUUUGGAGCUAUUUCCAUGAGCCGGUAGCUGGAACAGUGCCAAUUGGAACCAGGAAUCCCACAGCAGAUGCCAUCAUGGAGGUGCAGGCUUACCUAUAGGAGCCUCUUGUUCCAAAAAACGAGGAUCCUCUGGAGUGGUGGAAAAGUUGGGCCCACGUGUACCCCAGGCUUAGCAAGCUCAUGGCUAAGAGGCUUUGCGUUGUGGCGACAUCAGUUCCAUCUGAGAGAAUAUCCUCCAAGACUGGACAAAUAAUCUCAGAGAGAAGAAGUUGCCUCAAGCCUGCAAAAGUGAGAUCACUUGUGUUCCUCAAUGCAAAUUUGCCAAAGGACAAGGAGAGCCAGAAGAAGCCAUAAAGCAUGAAACGGCUUUAUUAUUUCAGAGCUGUCAUUUAUUUUGUUUACACUUUAUUUUGUUGUUUACAGUGAGUUUUUCCAUCUUUCUAAAAAUAUUGUUUACUAAAAUUUGCACUAAUGUUACCAAGGACAGUUCAGGAGUCCUCUGCAGGGUUAUACUUGAACCUUGUUUUGUAAAAGCUUUUCUAUAUUAAUAUAUUUUUAGUUUAGUAUAGUUUUGCAUGGAAGUUCAUUGUAGCCUGCUUAGUUUUUUAUUGUGCCACAAAUAAAGAGGUGUUGCAUGAUUAACAAGUCAAAAGAGCUUUAUUUACACCAAGAGACAUUUUAUACAAAGAUCCAAAAUAGUGAUCUCACUCUCAAAGCAGAGGGAUAUAGCGCCACCUUGUGGAAUGUUUACAAUGAAUGCAGAUCAGACCUUAAAAUCUAGUCCACACAUGUCAAAUGAAAUUAUAAUCAAUAUUUCAAAAUAAUUCAAACUCAGAUAUGUCUAAGUUUGAAUUAUUCUGAUCCAAACCUUACCCUAUCAUUCCUCCCAGUGAUUAUUUCCCAGAUAAAAUGGGUUACCCCCAGGCUAGAUUCUUAAAAAUAAAUAAAUAUAAAAAUGAGCCAGUCUUUUGAACGGCUCUUUGAAAGGAACGGCUUCUCAAAGAGCCAUAAAUCCCAUCUCUACUCUUUCGGUUGUUAACCCUAAUCAACCUAAGCUGUUUUACAAUAAAAGCAUCACACAUUGUUCUUUGUUGAACUGAUUAAGUUUGAUAAUAAUUUGCACUAUAUUCACCAAAGUAGUUUACAUUAGUUUGUAAUAAACAAUUAAAAUUAUAUAUUUAUGUAUUCAUUUUAAGCAGAAAUUUGGGUUCAGCUCAGGCAGAGAACAUUUGGUGAAACGUUCACUCUACCCUGACAGAACAUGACAAUCUGUGUUCUGGCUCUUCCUAAUACUCCUAAUGGCAUUUGCAAGAAUCCACCGGGCCUAAACAAAAACAACGAUUUAGAGCCAAGAAGGAACCAGAAUUUUUCACAGAUUAUUUGUCUCAUGUACUGCUGUCAGGAUAUAGUGAAAGUUUCAGCAAAUAUGACAACAAUAUAUUUUUAUUAAAAUUACCUACUGCCACUUCAAAACCCAUUCAAAAAACCCACUGACUUCGAUUGAGGUAACCAGAAGUGCUAAAAUGCUAAAAGUUUUUCAGGAUUUCUACAGCACUCUAUACAGAAACAGAGAGAAGACAUGUCUUGGUUUGACACAGAACGUAGCCUACUCCACUCUGCCGGCACAGUUCUUCAAACACCUCUUUUUUCCUGUUGCGAUCCAUUCAACCUGAGCCUGUUUGUGUUUUGACAGUAGGUAUACAGGGGAAUUGAACUUGCGUCUCUAAGGGGCCACAGGAUGUGCUUGCUGGUCAUAAAGGCAGCAGGUGUUGUUUUGGGAUUGACACACACACACACACACACACACACACACACACACACACACACACACACACACACACACACACACACACACAGCAGGUGUUGUUUGUCAGAGACUAUUCUUCUUUUUAACGGUCUAAAUGUCACUCAUUGUGUCACACAUGACAAACAGCAUACACUCACUGCAGCUCCACUGUGACACAUCCGUAUGUCAGAGAAAAUUCCUAAAAUUCUUGUUGUUGCUGUUGAUGUGUCAUUUCCACAUUUCCUCCCACGGGUGACAAGUUUCAGCUGUAUACAUGAGAACAAAGAGUCUAAGCUACAGCCUCAAACACCCAGGAGAAAACUUGAUUUAAAGCAGACUGUAAAACGGUAACUCUCAAGAUUUUGAUGUAAUCAAUUUCAAUAAUGUUUUGAGUUAAAUGAAUCUGGUUUUACACUGUAAAAAAAUGAUUAAUUUGUAUGAUGUAGUGUUGAGGAAGAACUGAACAAUCUAACAAUCAAAUGUGAGUGUUCUAAAUAUUGAGUGGGAUGUUGGAUGAUCCCCUACACCCCCCUUGAAAUAUGCGCCUAUGCCCAGCCUUCAUGUAGAUGAUUAUUCAUGAUUGAACAAACUGUGACUGUAAAUGGCUUCCAACUAUCCAAACGUACACUGCUGUCCUCAGAAAAGAAACUGAGACAGAAAGAGGACUAAGGGUGUUUGACCCACAUAGACUAAAGACUGAGGGGGUUUCCAGAUUUAGCAAGCACAAGAAUACGCAUGUGUGUGGGUGUGUGUGUGUGUGUGUGUGUGUGUAGGCUGGUGUCUCCAAAAGGAUUACUGACAAGACCUGGAAAAGGGCCCUAAAAGUGCUUUAGCUGUUGAGAUACCCCUACUGGAGGUAGAACAAAAGCACAACAAUUUUUAUAUUCUCCAAGGUAUCGCAUAUAUGAAAUGGAUUCUUGUAUGAAAAUAUUCUACUGCAAAAGUGAUAAAACUGACAGAUAUUGUGAUAGAUAGUGAACAAAACAAGUGCCAAAUAAAGCCAGGCCGAAUGGGAGAUGAUACACCUUAACUCAUGUCAUUUCAUAAUGCAAGCUCUGAUUGAUUAACAGGCCUGGGAAAAUCAAAUCCUCAAUAACACACACAUGCAGUUUGUGCAAAAAGGUGAGAAAACUCAUAAUCAAGGGGGCAAUCCCCCCCAGCAAACUCAUGUAAGUGGAACAUUUUAAUUUUCAAAACUUGAAAGUUUGAGUUUGACUUAAAACAAAAAAAUCAUGGCGGUUCAACAUAGUGGACCCCAUGGAAGGCCACCCGCAAUGUCUGUAGAUAAAAACAGCUUAUUCUAAGGUAACAAAAACACAACAACUUUUUCACAAUUAUUGUCACUAAUGAAAACAUAGUAUAUUCCAUUUCUACCUAUAUGUUGCACACUGGACCUUUAAGACCUUAUACAACUUUUGUUAGCCUGUUUACAACUCAACAUGGUCCUUAAUGUGCAAUUAUGUUGUGGGUGUAUGUAAGCCUAGAAUAAUAAAUAAGAAAUAACAUUUUGGACAUUUUUAAACAAAAGCUGCCAAACAGAGCCUAAAUCUUAACAUAUAAAGCAUGGGGAUGCUGCUGUAUAGUGUCACACUGUGUUUAGGUUCAACAGGCGUUCAAAACACUGACAUAUUAAUGAUGAUAUUAAGCUUUCUUCAUCAUGUUAAAGUUCAGCUGAUCUGGGUCUUAUUCAGUAAGACAGAAAAAGAAAAGAUAAUCAGAGCAUUGCUAUUAACUAACUCAGGAAAUUCCCUACCCAGAUCAUCCAUUUAUCACAUCAUUAUCACUACUUUUAUCUGAUUUUGUGUAUUUAUUCAUCAGUCAAUGUACACCAUACACUUAAAAAUACAUAUUUUACAUCACCACAGCAGACAAACUAGACAUGAACUGGAGAUAAACACAUGCUACUGAGCCAUGCUGCUGCCUGUUAUCCAUUUCCAUCACCUCUGUCCCAGCACAUAUUUCUACUGUCAUAUCUCACCGAGUUAUCUCCUGUUCUCAUCAGUGCAGGAAUUCCACCUUGCCUUCGAGGAACUCACCUCCCACUUCUAGAUCUUUUCUAAAUGUUUACAUGAGGUCUAAAAGGUUAGGAGAGUACUGUGCUGGGGUUUUCUUAGAAAUAAGGGUUCAAAGGGGUUCUUCCUCAAUGGCUGAGGUUCUAUCCAGAACCAUUUUCUUCUGAACAAACCCUUUUCUGAGGAAAGAGUGCUUCAAGAUUUUGAAAACAUCGCUGUUAAAAGAUCUUCACCUACACAUUUUCAAACGUUUACCCAUGUUUGAAAUUGUAUUUUUAAAUGUAGAUGUAUCUCCAAUCCCCCCAAUCAGUUCCUUUUACUUGUUUUGUGCCAUAGGUUUACCAUCUUUUCAUGCCAUACAAUAGUUAAUUGCGUAUCUGUAUUGACGGGCUCUUGGUAUAACCCCUGAGUGGGUUCUAGAUUAAACCCUUAGAAUAUAAAAGGGUUCUUAGUAUAACAUCCUGGA
rnacentral:lncRNA from 15 species